AGCACAUGUCACAAGUUUCAAGUCUGUUUAGUUCAAAGAAGUUGUUCAGGUUUAUUUAGAGUUAACGUGCUAUUUUCUCUUUGUUAAUUUGGAACAGCUUUAACUCCUGCUAUGUUAUCUUGCAAAACCAUCACGCAGCCUACUCCAUCCUGCUGUAGUCCUGGUCAUCCCUUGGCUAUAUCACCAAAUGUGGCUUGAAGAUGUCUCUGGGUAGUACUGCGACCCAGCAGCAGGGUGUAGGAGUUCUUUGGAGGAUGUGAAAUCCGAUCAAUGCCACAGGAAGAAUGGGAUACCCAAAGCCUGGCUGUUGGGGUCCAGGUUGCACCAAAGAGCUUGAUGAACUCUGAGGUCAGCUGGAGUCACAGGAUGGAAACGGACUUCAUGAGUGUGUGGCAGUUGAAGGGCCCUCCAGCACAUGAUGCAAUGGAAGGAAUGGCAGAAUUUUCUGCUCUGAGAUCUUGUCUGUGACAAAUGCCAGCUGACAAAUUCCACGUUCAGCACUUGGGAUGCACGUGGCAGGAUGGGGACUGUGAGAAGAGGAGAUUUUCUCUUCGGUGGCAUUAAUUACAGGUCGAUCUUCUCCCAUUCUGCAUGCUGUGCAUGGAGGUAAGUGUUUGCAGUCCCCGCUGCUGGUUCGAUGAGGUUUUUCUGGUAGAGUUUGCAGCAGGACCUUCCAGUGUGGUAAUUCAGGUAUAAUAACUUCUCCUCCCCUGAUGGGGCUGACUCGUGGAAUCCAUUAAGCUGUGUGGUUCUGGCUGUGUUCCUGGUUUCCUCGAGAUAAAGGCUUUUUAGUUUUUUGCUUGAAGUAAAUGUUUAUUUGUUAUCAACAGUUUAGAGUCAGCAAUUGUCAGCAUUUUGAACCUGAGGAUAGUUCCGACUAGAAAACAUCCAUAAGUUGGUUGUCUGAUGCUCAUGGUUUAAGUGGAAAAGCCAAGCACAGUACUUAAUCCAGCCCCUACAAUUUCCUCCACCUGAAACCCUGAACCAGCUCAAAAUCAAGGGGUAAAAAUAUAGCAGAGGAUCUUCUGACUUAAGGGAUCGGAAGGAUUUUCUCAGGGUAUGAGAGCUUCCCGACACCACUUCAGGAUUUGAUUCCACAGUACCCUGUUUCUAUCUCUGCUUAAUACAAAGAGUUCCCAACUUAUUAAUACUGCCCUUCGGUCUCCCCUUGUCCUCUGCCCAGAGAACUCUGUAGAUGUGUGUUCACUGGACAUCUGCUCCAGGGGAUUAGUUCCAUUGAAUCCAUUACUUCUGGGUGCCGUCCCAUCUCCAGUAUACCCCAGCUGCAGGCUUCUGCAUCCUUAUAUGAGUGUUUCCCAGAGCACUCUCUCUAGGAUGGACAGGUUAAAAUAAUGAGGAAAAUGUCAUUUUCAAGGGCUGGCCACUGUCUGUUUUCCAGAUAGACUUCUCCAGGAGUACAGAAGAAGUAAAAAAAGCAAAAGAAAGGAAUACAAAAUAACCAUCAACUAGGUUAUACGUACAAAAUAUGUUUAGGGGUUUGGCUCAAAUGAAAAUGAGGAGCCUUCUGGGAAAACUACAGAUUUCAUUUUGAUUCUAUAUUGAAACCCCCAUAGUCAGUGGAAAUGUGCUUGGAUUUGCACAGGCUUCUGCUAAAUUACUUUGAAAGAAAAUAUCAUUUCCAAGCCAAAUUAUAUGCUGGGAGGAAUAAUUUUCCUGAUUUUGAAUGGAUUUUUUCCAGGAGAAAAUCUGGCCGAUCUUGCUUAACUAAAUCACAACUUGGACCAUAGGCCUGGAAUCAGGAUCCAUUUGGAUGCUUUAACCUCCAGUGAAUAGCGAAUAGAAUAUGCUGAUGUUAUGCAGUGCAAAAUAAAACAAUAUGUGUAAUGAGCUGAUUUAAAAUG
ensembl:lncRNA